UACGUAGGGGGCUAGCGUUGUUCGGAAUCACUGGGCGUAAAGGGUGCGUAGGCGGGUCUUUAAGUCAGGGGUGAAAUCCUGGAGCUCAACUCCAGAACUGCCUUUGAUACUGAGGAUCUUGAGUUCGGGAGAGGUGAGUGGAACUGCGAGUGUAGAGGUGAAAUUCGUAGAUAUUCGCAAGAACACCAGUGGCGAAGGCGGCUCACUGGCCCGAUACUGACGCUGAGGCACGAAAGCGUGGGGAGCAAACAGG
rnacentral:rRNA from 1 species